rnacentral:rRNA from 1 species
AAUCUUCCGCAAUGGACGAAAGUCUGACGGAGCAACGCCGCGUGAGCGAAGAAGGUCUUCGGAUCGUAAAGCUCUGUUGUUAGGGAAGAACAAGUAUCGUUCGAAUAGGGCGGUACCUUGACGGUACCUAACCAGAAAGCCACGGCUAACUACGUGCCAGCAGCCGCGGUAAGUCGUAGGUGGCAAGCGUGAUCCGGAAUUAUUGGGCGUAAAGCGCGCGCAGGCGGUCCUUUAAGUCUGAUGUGAAAGCCCACGGCUCAACCGUGGAGGGUCAUUGGAAACUGGGGGACUUGAGUGCAGAAGAGGAGAGCGGAAUUCCACGUGUAGCGGUGAAAUGCGUAGAGAUGUGGAGGAACACCAGUGGCGAAGGCGGCUCUCUGGUCUGUAACUGACGCUGAGGCGCGAAAGCGUGGGGAGCGAACAG